rnacentral:rRNA from 1 species
ACGAGUGGCGGACGGGUGCGUAACGCGUGGGAAUCCGCCUUUUAGUGGGGGAUAGCCCGGAGAAAUCCGGAUUAAUACCGCAUAAGCCCUACGGGGGAAAGCUGGGGAUCUUCGGACCUGGCGCUAUUAGAUGAGCCCGCGUUAGAUUAGCUUGUUGGUGGGGUAAUGGCCUACCAAGGCGACGAUCUAUAGCUGGUCUGAGAGGACGAUCAGCCACACUGGGACUGAGACACGGCCCAG